AACGAACGCUGGCGGCAGGCCUAACACAUGCAAGUCGAACGAAGUCUUCGGACUUAGUGGCGCACGGGUGAGUAACACGUGGGAAUAUACCUUACGCUGGGGGAUAACAUCGGGAAACUGAUGCUAAUACCGCAUACGCCCUUCGGGGGAAAGAUUUAUCGGCGAAAGAUUAGCCCGCGUCCGAUUAGCUAGUUGGUGAGGUAAUGGCUCACCAAGGCUCCGAUCGGUAGCUGGUCUGAGAGGAUGACCAGCCACACUGGGACUGAGACACGGCCCAGACUCCUACGGGAGGCAGCAGUGGGGAAUAUUGGACAAUGGGCGCGAGCCUGAUCCAGCCAUGCCGCGUGAGUGAUGAAGGCCUUAGGGUUGUAAAGCUCUUUCAACCACGACGAUGAUGACGGUAGUGAGAGAAGAAGCCCCGGCUAACUUCGUG
rnacentral:rRNA from 1 species